rnacentral:rRNA from 1 species
UUUGUUUUUUAAUUAAAAACUAGAAUGAAUGGUUGAACAUUUUAAUUUUUUUAUUUAAAUUAUAAAUUUAAAUUAUAUUAAAUAUAAAAAUAUAUUUAUAUAAAAAAAAGACGACAAGACCCUGUUGAAUUUUACUUAUGUUUAACUGGGGCAGUUAAUUAAAUAAAAUUUUAAUUUAAAUUAAAUAAAUGAUCCAACAAAAUUGAUUAAUUGAUUAAUUUACCAUAGGGAUAACAGCGUUAUAUCUUUUUAAAGUUCUUAUUUAAAAUAGAAGAUUGCGACCUCGAUGUUGAAUUAUAUUUUCUUAUAUUAGUGCAAUAGCAUAUAAAGUAGGUCUGUU